UACGAAGGGGGCUAGCGUUGCUCGGAAUCACUGGGCGUAAAGGGUGCGUAGGCGGGUCUUUAAGUCAGGGGUGAAAUCCUGGAGCUCAACUCCAGAACUGCCUUUGAUACUGGCGAGCUUGAGUCCGGGAGAGGUGAGUGGAACUGCGAGUGUAGAGGUGAAAUUCGUAGAUAUUCGCAAGAACACCAGUGGCGAAGGCGGCUCACUGGCCCGGUACUGACGCUGAGGUGCGAAAGCGUGGGGAGCAAACAGG
rnacentral:rRNA from 1 species